UGGCAGCAUUCUGUCAACUGCAGUGGAAGGAGAAAAGAAAAGUGAAUGGUCACCAAGGCGAGAGAAGGAGAGAGAAAGAACAAAGCUAGAAUCAAACCAUGGAUCCAGUGGAGCAUCUGGUGAAAGCAACAGGUUUUGCUGUUGAAAGAGGCGACUGUUGCAGAGCGACAUGCUUGUGAAAUAAGCGGACAGUGGGGUGCCUGGAGCAGCUGAUGACAAAGGCACGGGAAGGAAGGGGGAAAAGAGCGGGAGGAGAUGGAAAGGAGGCAUUGCUUCCAGCUGGAGGCAUAAUCCGGUACAAGUGAAUGGAGCGUGCCUAGAGAACGUCUUCACGAGUAACUAAUUGGAUGUCCGUGGCAGAGCAACCAUACGAGGCCAACAUCAUCGUCCACGCGCUCACCAGGGAAGAUGGCAGCCUGAGAAGGAUGUUGUGACAGUUAGUGAAAUGGAAUCCCCAAAAUGCUCGAAUGAAAGAAAACUGUCGUCUGCAUUCAAGUAAAAGCUCUGGGACAACUCCUGAACAGGUCCCACACGAGCGAUCCAGAUCACUCCAUGGAGUAUAUGAAACGAUAUGUAGCCCCUGUCUCUGGAAAUUCUGAGAUUAUCUGAAACCCGAGAAAAGCACCCCUGUCUUCAGUUGUUCAUUACAACGAAGCUCACCUUGGCCGAGAGCGGAAGGAAACUCUGAACUGUCCAUCAGUGGAUGGAUGGAUAAAGACUGUGGUAUGCAUAUGGCACCGGGUGCCAUUCACACACACACACACAUACACACACGAGAGAGAGAGAGAGAGAGAGAGAGAGAAUAUCUAUCCUGGCAUUUGUGACAACAUGGUUGGAACUGGAGAUAACUGUGCUUAAUGAAAGAUGCCAGGCACAGAGAAUCAAGCAGCCGGCCAUUGCAAUUACAAAGUCCGAGAAAACUGACCUCACUGAAGUUGAGAGUCGAAUGGUAGAUACUGAAGGUUGGUAUCAAAGAGAAGGGGCUGGCAAAGGGUUGAGUGAUGGGUAUUAAGUUACAGUUAGAAAAGAGUAAGGCAUUCUAGAGUACUCCUGUACAGUAGGGUGAUUGCUGUGGAGAACAGCAAUGCACGGCACAUGCUUCACAAAGGUAAAAUAAAGGAUUUGAAAGUUAUCACCAUAAAAACAUUACUUAAAAAGAUAAAUAGAUUUGGCUUGAUUUCAGUGGUUCAAUAAAUAUAAUAUAUAUAAAAUAUAUAAUAUUUUAUAUAAUAUAUAUAAAAUCUUAUAUAUGACUCUAUAAAUAUAUACUUUUUAACCUGUCAGUUUGAAAACAAAUUUAAAUUAAGCCAGGUAUUUUGACACAUGUGUAACCCUACUGCUUUGAAUGCUGAAGCUGAAGGACCUUGAAGUUCUGGGGCUCACUAGAGUGGGAUGAGGGAUUUUUUUUUUUUUAUACUCUGUGACUUCUGUGUGUGACAGAGUCCGUUAGUUACAUUUUUCUCGUUGCUCAGAUCACUGUUCCUCUCUCAGUGUCUGGAUGUGCAAUAUUCAAGAGAGGGGUGAGUGCUGAGAGGGUUUGUUUUAGUUUUAUAGAAUUGUCUUGAGGGCUACAGGUUCAAUGCCUAAGCUUUUGACAGUGCACUGCUAUGUGUGUGAACAGACACUAGGCAAGGGUCAGCACACCCCUCGCUGGUCCUCUGAGUCUCUGCAGCCUUCUGGUGUGGCUCUCCAAGUUAUAAACUCAAGGUUAGGGAGCCUGGUGAGGUUCUUGGUUCCUUGUAGUUUCUAUGCAGAAGAAGCUAUGGUUUUUAAAGCACAAAAUUCCAUAGAGUUUAUUAUUUGUUUGUGUACGUGACAUACAUGUUCCUGUUGUCAUUAGCAUAUGUGUGUAUAGGUUUGCAUAUGUGUGUAUAGGUUUGCAUGCACACAUACUGGCAAAUGUGUGGUAGCCAGAUUGACUCCCAUGGCAAGACUUAUCAUAGCAUGCUCCUUCCAUAUGUCAGGUGUUAUGCAUUAAUUAUAAUAUAUUCCUUGGGCCAUGACCUGGCCUCGGGAUUAAGAAUUUUCCAGCUUUAACAGGAUUGAUCUAAAAACAUAUCACCAGUGGAAAGACAAUGAAAAGAUUGUUUGAGAAAUAGACUUCUGCUUAUGUUCAAUGCCCCCUCCAUGGGACCAUUGCCAAGUAUUGGUGGUUAGAGACAUUUAGAGUAUGAACACCUGUGUGCAUGCAUGCAUAUGUGAGCACACACAUACUCACAUGUAUGCACAAAGGCAUGCACACACAUAAUUUAUUCUCAACAAGGAGUUCCCAGUGGAAGGGGAACAUACAAUCUCUAUUAACAAUAAUAAGAAGAACUAUGUGAGAAACUCCAAUCCCAGUCUUGGAAGUUCACCCCCAGGCCCACAUAAAUUUGAGUGGUUGACCAUUUGAAAUGUUCUUUUAUAGGUAAUAAAGGCAGAAACAAGCAGCAACAUGUUUUCUAAACCUGGCCACCCACUGGGAUCUGUCUUCAUAAGUCUUCAGAUUUUCUUUCUUGAGUCCAAAUGCAGUGUACACUUCGAUGCCAAGGGGUAGUGGCCUUCACAGCUCAGUCCCAGGUUCAGACAGUCCUACUAGGAAUCCUCUUUCUAGAUGCUUUGAUUAGCAGUCCUCAAGCUGACCAAUGAAGCUAAUUCUAUUCUUUAUUUCUGUAACUUGUAUAGCAUUUAUAGACUAGCAUGUGAAAAUGAGAAUCCAUGAUGCAAAUAGUCUUUUAUCCAAACUCAAUCCAACACUACCACUCACAGUGAGUUCACACAUGCAAUCACAGGUCUUCACAGGUGUUCACACAUGCACUCACAGGUGUUCACACAUGCAAUCACAGGUGUUCACACAUGCAAUCACAGGUGUUCACACAUGUACUCGAAGGUGUUCACACAUGCACUCACAGGUGUUCACACAUGUAUUCACAGGUGUUCACACAUGCACAUGCAGGCGUUCUCACAUGUGUUCACAGGACUUCACACAGGUACAUAUAGGUGUUCACACAUGUAUUCACAAUGCAUUCAUAGGUGUUCACACAUGCACACAUUUGCAUGUGCACUGGCAGACUCCUGCACUCUCAUCUCUAUGGAUACAUCUAAUUAUAAGAAGAUGGUGGGUGGGCUUGUCCAGUAAUAUGCAGAUUAGAUAAUUGGUUGAUUUCCCUUAAACAGCUCUAUUGAAAUACAGAUAACUAAGAAGACUACACAUAUUAAAAAGCUCUGGACAUAUUCAUACACUUUGACUUCAUCACCAAUACAGGUAAGACACAGGCACAUCCCAGAAUUUUCUGUACGUUUCAUAUUUUUUUCUAUGACAGAAACACUUAACAUGAAAUCAACCCUGUUAGCAAAUUUUGAAGCACACAACUGUCUACAUUAUUAGCCUCUACUAUGCCCUCAAGCACUUGGAUUUAAAAAAUAUGUUUCUGGAACUUAUUUAUUCACUCAUUUAUUUAUUUCUCUAUAUUGCUGUGAGAUAUGUUCUGUUUUCAUCAGUCAUAUAAAUAAUUUCUCAAUAUCUCAGGGCAAACCAAACAAACCUGGCAGUCUGAUUGAAGGUCUCCCUUCGGAGACCUACAGGCCAGUGGCAUCGGUGUAGAGUGCCCGGGUUCCCAGUGCAGCUUGUGCCUAGGGUCCUCCUCACAGGGGCAUAGCGUGGAGCCAGUCUAGGCUUUGGGGGAACUCACCAUACUCCUCCCGCUCAGCCUUUGUUUGGGAGGCAGAAUAGUCUGCAUCUCCAUUGUCUUCAGCUUGGCCUUAUCAGAAUUGGGAGAUUCCUCCACGUUCUGGCAUAUCUGUCUUUUUUCUGUGCCCGAACUCCCACUCAAAUACUGCAGCCAGAGUCCCAGACUAUUUUUUAUAAAUAUUAGCAGGGCUAAGAAGAAGGAUUAGUGAGGUGUAUGGAGGGAAAUGAGUCUUCUGAUUUGUACCUCACUUCUUCCGUGCUUCCUAGCGGCGUCUCGGCUGGGGGAGUUCUCAUACAGCUCGAACCAGCCUACUCCUGUUCUCAUCAUCUCCCCUGUCUUCCCAACAGCCCACAGAACCAGUCCUCCUUCCUGCCUGUCCUCAGCUGAGAGGAAUCACGGAGCAGGUGACGGGUGCUCUGCAGGAGAGAGGAUGGUUUGAGAAAAGCAACAGGUCACUUGUAUCUGCUGAUGCCUUCCUUGGUGCCAGGCCCUCUGCAUAGAAUGUGUGUGAGCAUGUAUAUUUGUGUGUACACAGGAGCACACACACACACACACACACACACACACGGAAGAGAGAAAAGCAGCAGAGGGCCAGCAUCACUCUUCUCUGCUUCCUGUUGACUGGCCAUGAGGAGACCAUGCUUCAUGAUGCGUUCUCCAUCAUGAAGGACUUGGGUUUGAGGCCACGAACUAAAAUAAACCUUUGCUCCCUUAAGUUACAUACAUUGAGUGUAUUGAUUGAUAACAAAAAGUAAUAGACCGCAGAUAGACAAUUGACAUCCAGCAACACUCUUUCUGAAAGAAGUUAUCUCAAACCAAGAGCCCUACAAGUCCCAAUCUGCCCUGUGGGACAGCUAAGUGUCAAAUCUGUUGAUAAGAUACAGCACAGCAAACAGGAACACACGAAGACAGAGCCAGUGUUCUAAGCAUUGCUAGCACCCUUCCUCAUUCUUAAAGCAAGCAUUGCCUGUGUCACAGCAGAUGUUGCCUUACAAAGUCCCCUCUGAAACUAGACAGAUCUGAGAGCAGAGAUGCACGCCACAGAGGCUUCUCCUUGUUGAUUUGUUGAUGUGAUGUUCCGCAUUGCCUAAGGUUGCAUCAAACUUUCUAUAAAGCCGAUGAUGACCAUAAACCUCUGAUCCUUUUGGCUCUCCUUUCCAAGUGCUGGGUGUACAGGUGUAAGCUACCAUGCCCAGGGUUUUACGUAAUGCUGCUCAUCAAACCCAGCACAUUGUAGGUACUUGGGAAGCACUCUACCAAGGUAAGAUACGGUCCAAAAGGGUUCUCAGUUUACCUGAUUUUGUAAUUUGAGGAGAUGCUGUGUUUUAUCACUACGGGUCUCUUUCUCCUCUCAACCAUCUUCCCUUUGCACAUCUCAGGUUCCAUCACUCAUUCAGUGGGCAUUCCUUCCUGAGAUUCCAAGCAGGAAACCUGUUGUCAUGUGCCUCUAGGAUCUUUCUUUCUCCAAAGCAAGGAUGGGUGAUAAUGACCCUAUGUAACCAUCAGUUUCAGGCAAUGAUGUCUGGCUAAAUAAUUCAUGUGAAGUCUCCUAGACCUGUAAGCACAUUGCCCCUUUCAUGAAAUUCUUAGAACAGUCUACAUGGGGGUAUUUUUUAACCAAUGUCGAGAUCUGUAGGGAAUAUCAUGUUAGCUUCUGCAUGCAUCUGGUACCUCCAGGAUUUAGUUAUUUAUCAUGAAAACAAGUCAAUAUGAUGUUGCUUGUAUGAUUCAGGCUUCUGUAUGCACUCUAAAGACAUAUACACACAUAUGCAUGUGUAGUCAUGGCAACGCGUAUACAUUAUACUAGUAGAUAAACUUUUCUCCAUCCCCAACAUCUUGCCGACUAGGCAGCUACUACCUCAUUUCAUAGAUGUGACAGAUGAAGAUUUACCUUCUCUGCAGUCACUUAGCCCUCUGGACUCUACCCACUCUUGUGCCUGCAGCAUUUCCUGGUUCAUGUCUCUACAUCCGUUCUAAUACAGCAUCCUUCUGAUGUGCCUGUAUCUGCCCUCUCCUGUGUCUCUGUGUCUUCCUCUCUACUCAUAAAGACAUAGAACCUCAUUCCAGUAGAUCCUAGAUUUACUAAUUACAGUGGCAACAACUCUAUUUUCAAAUAAGGCCACAGAGUGAGUGUUGCUAUUAGGCCUUCAACAAAUAGCUAAGAAGGGAAUACUUCAACCUCCAGCAAUGAUUUCCAAGACAUCUAGUUCUGCCAGCUAGUCCCUCACCAGAACAGCCCUUAUAGAGCCCCCAAGCUAAACACAGCAUGAACAAGACCUGCCAUUUUCAAAGCCACUGUGAUCAACCAAUGUAAAUAUCAAUACACUUUCAGAUUUAUUUUUGGUUUGUAAUUUAUAUGACAUAUACUGUACAUUGUGUUAAAUCCUGACAAUUACCCAUUAGCUGUACUGUCUCCCCUGAGAAAUAAGAGGCAGGCCUACUGUAGUGAUGUGUCACCAAUGAGGUAUUGGGGGGGGGUGAAAUUUCUGGGUAUCAUCCAGGAGAGGAACCUGAUGUCCUUUCUUCCCUUUUUCCUUCACGGGAGCUGAGAGGGGAGCCAGGUUCCUCCCAGCAAAGGAAAGCAGCACUGAAGCAAACGGUGGAGCCUGGAAGGGGCGGGGCCCUGCUUCCUGGAGUGCCAAGGGAACGCACAGCUGUCUACUACGCUGGACUAUCCACCCGUCCUCUCACUGAGAUGGGGAUCAGUAGUUUUCCUGUUCAAGCCCUUGAUGCCUUAUGACACCUCAUGGCAGCAGCCUCGCUUGCUCUUUAAGCAAUGUGCGUUCCAUUGAGAAGCAGAACCUGUUUUCCUCCAGCUUAUCUCCUCCUUCCGGCAUCUUUCCAUUGUUGGGUGUUUCUGUUCUUGCUUUUCGUUUUUCUUACGGCUGCUUCUAUGGCUUUAAAUAAAAAACAAAACUCCCCUCUACGCUGCCACUCUUCUUCCAUCAACCUGGAUGCCCGAUUUGUAAGAUGAAUAGACGAAGGCUUCUAUUUCGUCCUCUCCAUCCUGCUUUCUGUCAGCUGCAACGUCACAAGGUUGCUAACAUUUACAUUAUAUCCGACAACCACAAACAAAUUUGUUCAGGUGGAUUCCCAAAGUUUAAAAGGAAAAGGCUGUGUUUACGCACUGUAUAAAUAGUGUUCACCGAGGGCCAAGAGAACAAGAGAACCAUUUCCUUCUUUGUGGUACAACGAGUGUAAGGUGACACCGGGGCCGCUUGAACCAGGGCAACAUCAAUUGGAUUGUUCAAUGAUGUCCGUUCCCUAAAAUCCAGUGAACUUAUUUGCUCACACACACUUAGUAUGCGCCGAUUUCACAUGCCGAGAACGACAUUGGGAACUGAGUGGUAAAUGGGAUUGCUCUGAAUCCCUGCCCAGCGAGGUCCCAGUUCACUAAGGAAAGACAGACAGAAACCCAACAAAGCCUGCAAGAUGUUGAUACAAGCAGUAGGACAGGGAGAGCAGGGAGUCAGACGGUGUGUCCUCGCAAGUGUCCCAAGAUUGCAGCCUCACAAUCAGAAAAGCCUCCUCGAGCGGAGGGCAGAAGAAUAAACCUCACAGCGAAGGUAAGACUGUCAGCCAAGACUGUGCGAGGAGAAACUUCCCAGAGGAAAGUUUUCCAGAGAAAAUAGUCAUUUCUGUGUCUAUGAUCAAAUACCUUGACAAAAGGCAAAUUGGGAAGGCAAGGUUUAUUCUUGUGUGCAGUUUCAGAGAAACAGAGUCACAGUGGGGAAGAUCCUGGCGGAUAACAUUUCACCUAGACUCGUUGAAACAGCUAGUCAGGGCAAGAAGUCGGUGAGGCUAUCAACUCUCCAAGCCUAAGCUCAGUGACGCACUUCCUCUUGCAUGACCCCACCCCCUCAAAGUCUACGUCCCAUGACUUGCUUCCCUCCCAAUGAUGUACUUCCUCUUGCAUGGCUCCACCUCCGAAACCUUUCCAAACAGUACAACCAGCUCGGGAACCCAUAUUCAAGCACACAAGACUUUGGGGGAUAUUUAUAUUCAAAUCACAACAGGAAGUCAAUGAAGCGUGAGGAGGAUGUCAGGUCAUGAGUGCAAGAAGAGUCUCUGGUCAAUCGGUUGUAGGUCCUGAGUUACUGACCAGUUACUAGAACGAUGGAGCAGAAAAGGUAGGUCUUACACCUGACCCUGGGCUAAAGAGGGGAAUGGUCAAAAAUAAUCCAUGAAUUUAGAAUACAUCACCGAGGCAGGGUAGGGACACAUGUCCAUGGAUGUGAGGAAAAUGGUCACCAGAACAGUCCCUGUGGCUUUCUUAGGGCAACACUGCUGUUCUGUUUGCAGUGACUGUCAAUUUUUCACUUUUGCUUUCUUGUUUUUCCUCUGGUCUAUAAUUGCUUUCAAUUUUAAUCCAGAAUCGAUGUUCUUCUGAUGGGCCUCAAGGGACCCUCUGGUGGAAUAAAGACAUCAUAUUUCUCUUUCUGGUUGACAAAUAUCCGUGGGAUUCCUAUCUGCACUGAACAGUCAGCCUUUACCAGUCAUCUGUGUUUGUGCUCAUUUCUAUCACUUAUUUAAGUGCUAUGAUUUAACCGUCUGUUUUUAAGUUCACUACAGAUUCAGUAAGGAUGGCUGCCACCCAGUUUCACAUGCUGCUGCCCAGCUAAGUGCCUGGAGAUGACUGGUAAGACACGGGGUUUCACUCUCUAGUCUAAACUGGCCUGGAACCCACUGUACUGCCUAGGUUGGCCUUAAACUCAGAGCAAUCCUUCUGCCUCACUCGCCCCCGGCUGCUAUAUCUAGAAAGUGUCAGGGAAGUGAUUGGAUCUGCCUUUCCCCCCUAACUCCUUAAAAAGAAAACCUAUGUGUUCUUCUAUGCUGAAAAGUAUCAGCCUGGGGCUCUGACGGAACAUUUACAAUAUUUUGAUAACAGAAUAUUCAUUAGCAAUCAGUUGAGGGAAAGGGUAUCAAUCACUUGUGUUAGUAAAAAGUUUUUCGAGUUAAGUGUGGUGGCUUAAUCGACCUUUCCCGGUUCUGAUCGCCGUUCAAACCCACCAGAAACACCAGCAGACGGUUUCUAGAGCUAUUUACUUUGUAAAUGGAGGUUAUUGCUGCCUUAAAAAAAUGCAAAAUGCGUUGGGGGUAAUUGUGAGACAUUUGGGAUGGGAGAAACUUAUUUGGUUGACUUUUAAUGGCAAAAUAUGCUCUUUUCCACUGGGUGCAAGUGUAUUAUGUUGAUGCUGAUUGUUCAAGCAGCCCUAAAUGGCUUAAAAAAAAAAACCUGGCAAACACUUGUCUAAUACCUCCAAGCAGAUGGACAGAUUUCUAAUUAAAUCUAAAUUUAUUCCUUACGUCUCACUUCCUACAAAAAGAGGAAGAUCUUGGUACACUUUGACUCUGGAGUGACCCCACCGUCCUCAGCUCAUUCACGCCCCAGCAAAGCAUCCACUCAAGGAGAUUCUCAGACUUCCUGUUCCGAUUAGAAACUAAGCUGAUCAGCAGUGUUUGCCUUAUCAUGUCCUGUAUGAACUGCAUACACUCAUUUUAUUAGGAGAGUUAGGUUUCUCAUCUCUGGAAUCAAACACUUGCCAGGACGCAUCACAGAUGGAGGGAUGUCUGCUGACUCAUGCUUCCGGAACACAGGCCUUCACAGUGAGGAACACCGUGGCUGCAUAGAAACAGAGAACUCGAACCCAGACCCCGCCAGGCUUUAACUUUCAAGGCCUACAUCUGGUUGCCCACAUCAACCAGCCAAGUCCUGUUCUAAAGGUUCUACAACGUCCCAAACCAGCACUACCAGUUAGGGCCCACACGUUCAAACACAUAAGCCCGUGGGAGGCAUUUUACAUUCAAUCUGCACAGAUAGCUGCUUUUUAAAUUUUUUAAAGUUUGUCAGUAACAAGACUGAUUGACAUAGUUUUUCCUACUGUUCACCCAUGUUGUUAUUCUUUCUAUUUUAAAAAUUUAUUUAUUUAUUUAUUUAUUUAUUUAUUUAUUUAUUUAUUUAUAUGUGUGUGUGCAUGUGUGUGUAUUUGUGUGUGUGUUUGCACACACACAUGUGGGGGUCGGUAUACUUAUGGAGGGGAGGCCAGACCAACCUGGGGGGACUCAGUUCGCUCCCACUGCGGGGUGGGUCCUAGGCUUUGAACUCAGGUCAUCAGGCUUGUUGGCAAGCACCUCCUCGCCUCUUUCUCCUCCCUCCCUCUCUCUUGUGUG